rnacentral:rRNA from 1 species
UACGUAGGGACCAAGCGUUGUUCGGAUUUACUGGGCGUAAAGGGCGCGUAGGCGGCAAAUUAAGUCAUCUGUGAAAUCUCCGAGCUUAACUCGGAACGGUCAGGUGAUACUGAUCUGCUAGAGUGCGGAAGGGGCAAUCGGAAUUCUUGGUGUAGCGGUGAAAUGCGUAGAUAUCAAGAGGAACACCUGAGGUGAAGACGGGUUGCUGGGCCGACACUGACGCUGAGACGCGAAAGCGUGGGGAGCGAACCGG